GAUGAACGCUGGCGGCGUGCCUAAUACAUGCAAGUCGAGCGAACGGACGAGAAGCUUGCUUCUCUGAUGUUAGCGGCGGACGGGUGAGUAACACGUGGAUAACCUACCUAUAAGACUGGGAUAACUUCGGGAAACCGGAGCUAAUACCGGAUAAUAUUUUGAACCGCAUGGUUCAAAAGUGAGAGACGGCCUUGCGGGAACUAAUAGCGGCUUCUCCGCUGCUUUAGCUAGUUGGUAAGUUAACGGGUUACGAAGGCAACGAUGCAUAGCCGACUUGAGGGGGUGAUCGGCGACACGGGAACGGAGACACGGUCCAGACUACUACGGGAGGCAGCAGUAGGGAACCGGCCGCAAUGGGCGAAAGCCUGACGGAGCAACCCCGAGUGAGUGACGGAGGUCUCCGGAUCGUAAAACUCUGUUAUUAGGGAAGAACAGAUUUGUAAGUAACUGUGCACAUCUUGACGGUACUUAAUCAGAAAGCCACGGCUAACUACGUG
rnacentral:rRNA from 1 species